GGACGGGUGAGGAACACAUCGGAAUCUACCCUGUCGUGGGGGACAACGUAGGGAAACUUACGCUAAUACCGCAUACGACCUUUGGGUGAAAGCGGGGGACUCGCAAGAGCCUCGCGCGAUUGGAUGAGCCGAUGUCCGAUUAGCUAGUUGGCGGGGUAAUGGCCCACCAAGGCGACGAUCGGUAGCUGGUCUGAGAGGACGACCAGCCACACUGGAACUGAGACACGGUCCAGACUCCUACGGGAGGCAGCAGUGGGGAAUAUUGGACAAUGGGGGCAACCCUGAUCCAGCCAUGCCGCGUGGGUGAAGAAGGCCUUCGGGUUGUAAAGCCCUUUUGUACGGGAAGAAAAGCUUUCGGUGAACAUCCGGGAGUCAUGACGGUACCGUAAGAAUAAGCACCGGCUAACUUCGUGCCAGCAGCCGCGGUAAUACGAAGGAUCCAAGCGUUAUCCGGAUUUAUUGGGUUUAAAGGGUGCGUAGGUGGCCUGUUAAGUCAGGGGUGAAAGACGGUAGCUUAACUAUCGCAGUGCCCUUGAUACUGAUGGGCUUGAAUGAACUAGAGGUAGGGCGGAAUGUGACAAGUUAGCGGUGAAAUGCAUAGAUUGUCACAGAACACCAAAUUUGCGAAGGCA
rnacentral:rRNA from 1 species